rnacentral:rRNA from 1 species
ACGAACGCUGGCGGCGUGCCUAAUACAUGCAAGUCGAACGAAGCUUUCUUUCACCGAAUGCUUGCAUUCACCGAAAGAAGCUUAGUGGCGAACGGGUGAGUAACACGUAGGCAACCUGCCCAAAAGAGGGGGAUAACACUUGGAAACAGGUGCUAAUACCGCAUAACCAUGAACACCGCAUGAUGUUCAUGUAAAAGACGGCUUUUGCUGUCACUUUUGGAUGGGCCUGCGGCGUAUUAACUUGUUGGUGGGGUAACGGCCUACCAAGGUGAUGAUACGUAGCCGAACUGAGAGGUUGAUCGGCCACAUUGGGACUGAGACACGGCCCAAACUCCUACGGGAGGCAGCAGUAGGGAAUCUUCCACAAUGGACGAAAGUCUGAUGGAGCAACGCCGCGUGAAUGAAGAAGGCCUUCGGGUCGUAAAAUUCUGUUGUCAGAGAAGAACGUGUGUGAGAGUAACUGUUCACGUAUUGACGGUAUCUGACCAGAAAGCCACGGCUAACUACGUGCCAGCAGCCGCGGUAAUACGUAGGUGGCAAGCGUUGUCCGGAUUUAUUGGGCGUAAAGGGAACGCAGGCGGUCUUUUAAGUCUGAUGUGAAAGCCUUCGGCUUAACCGAAGUAGUGCAUUGGAAACUGGAAGACUUGAGUGCAGAAGAGGAGAGUGGAACUCCAUGUGUAGCGGUGAAAUGCGUAGAUAUAUGGAAGAACACCAGUGGCGAAAGCGGCUCUCUGGUCUGUAACUGACGCUGAGGUUCGAAAGCGUGGGUAGCAAACAGGAUUAGAUACCCUGGUAGUCCACGCCGUAAACGAUGAGUGCUAAGUGUUGGAGGGUUUCCGCCCUUCAGUGCUGCAGCUAACGCAUUAAGCACUCCGCCUGGGGAGUACGGUCGCAAGACUGAAACUCAAAGGAAUUGACGGGGGCCCGCACAAGCGGUGGAGCAUGUGGUUUAAUUCGAAGCAACGCGAAGAACCUUACCAGGUCUUGACAUCUUCUGACAAUUCCAGAGAUGGAACGUUCCCUUCGGGGACAGAAUGACAGGUGGUGCAUGGUUGUCGUCAGCUCGUGUCGUGAGAUGUUGGGUUAAGUCCCGCAACGAGCGCAACCCUUAUGGUCAGUUACUACGCAAGAGGACUCUGGCCAGACUGCCGUUGACAAAACGGAGGAAGGUAGGGAUGACGUCAAAUCAUCAUGCCCUUUAUGACUUGGGCUACACACGUACUACAAUGGGAUGGACAGAGAGCAGCGAAGCCGCGAGGCCAAGCGAACCCCAUAAACCAUCUCCCAGUUCGGAUUGCAGGCUGCAACUCGCCUGCAUGAAGUCGGAAUCGCUAGUAAUCGCGAAUCAGCAUGUCGCGGUGAAUACGUUCCCGGGCCUUGUACACACCGCCCGUCACACCAUGAGAGUUUGUAACACCCAAAGUCGGUGAGGUAACCUUUUGGAGCCAGCCGCCUAAGGUGGGACAGAUGAUUGGGGUG